UGGGGAAUAUUGGACAAUGGGCGAAAGCCUGAUCCAGCCAUGCCGCGUGUGUGAAGAAGGCCUUUUGGUUGUAAAGCACUUUAAGCGAGGAGGAGGCUACUUAGAUUAAUACUCUAGGAUAGUGGACGUUACUCGCAGAAUAAGCACCGGCUAACUCUGUGCCAGCAGCCGCGGUAAUACAGAGGGUGCGAGCGUUAAUCGGAUUUACUGGGCGUAAAGCGUGCGUAGGCGGCUUUUUAAGUCGGAUGUGAAAUCCCUGAGCUUAACUUAGGAAUUGCAUUCGAUACUGGGAAGCUAGAGUAUGGGAGAGGAUGGUAGAAUUUCAGGUGUAGCGGUGAAAUGCGUAGAGAGCUGGAGGAAUACCGAUGGCGAAGGCAGCCAUCUGGCAUAAUACUGACGCUGAGGUAAGAAAGCAUGGGGAGCAAACAGG
rnacentral:rRNA from 1 species